rnacentral:rRNA from 1 species
GACAGAGGAGGCAAGAGUUGAUCGGAUUUACUGGGAUUAAAGGGCGCGUAGGCGGCUUUAUAAGUACGAGGUGGAAUUCCACAGCUUAACUGUGGAACUGACUUGGAAACUAUAAGGCUUGAGUCAGGUAGAGGAGGGCGGAAUUCCCGGUGUAGUGGUGAAAUGCGUAGAUAUCGGGAGGAAGGCCGGUGGCGAAAGCGGUCCUCUGGGCCUGUACUGACGCUGAGGCGAGAAAGCGUGGGGAGCAAACAGG